AAAAAAAAAGGUCAUCUCCUCCAAUCCCCUCCCGUUCUUCUCCUCCACUCCCCUCCCAUGCUUCUCAAACCCUAGCCAAUCCCCAUCGCGCUGCUGGUCUUCCUCCCUGGCUCCCGCUCUCCAUGGACGCGUCCCUCUCCCUCCUUGAUCUCCUCUCCCGGUGCUCGUCCCCGGAGUAGCGCAGUCGGUGGAGGCGUGCGGGAAUGGCGCCGCUGAUGGUCUCGCGGGCGCGAGGGAGGGCGCGCGGGAGCCCGCGCGGCCGGCCAGGCUCCCUCUCCUCCAGCCCUCCCUUUCCCCUUGGCCGGAGCAGAAGAAGGCAGCAGGGCCUCCACCACGCCCCUCCCUACUCGCCCCCAGCUCGACCUGCUGCUGCGAGCAUUAGGAGCAGCCCUCUCUACUGAUUACCAUUCCCAUGGAAGCUUCUUCCUCCGUAUCAAUGGCUCCUCCAGCUCUCCGUCCUCUCUAUCCCCCCUCUCCCACUUUCUCUCUCUCAAUUGAAUCUCUGAAAUGUUUGUGUUUGUGCUGAUUUUGGGUGCAGGUUUUCUCCAUGUCCCCCUUUGCUACAGAUCUAGAUGUUUCACUACAGUUGUGAAAAGUCGGGGCUGAUGUCUCGAGCAUCAGGACUGUAGCAUCACCCCGUCGGUGGAGGACGCCAAGCCUGUCGCUACCCAUUAUCCAAGUUGUCACCGGCGAUGAGAAAUUAUCCGGAGCUUAGGCAACCAUAACGUCUCCAAAUCCUCAAACAAUCAGGAUUCUUAAUCAUCAUUCAGGCUUAUUCGGGCGAAAGCCGCUCAUUUUGUGUGCAAGUGUUGGAGUUAAGCACACAUUUUUUAAAUGCUACACCUAUUGUGUGAGGAGUGGGAUUGGCUGUCGGAUAAUCGGUUGGUGGCCGAGCGAAGUAGCCUAGGCCGCUGCUUGCUGUGUGUCGCCGCUGGAGGAUUUUAAGCUUGGCUGGUGAACUGCCAUCUCCACUUGGAAAACACUGUGUGAGGAGUGAGGUUGUUUCAUGAAAACGAAAGUGGGAUGGAGGGGAAGAUUGACCUAUGUACGCGCUGGAUGUUAACUUUGAGAGGAUGGAUAACGUGGUGACGCAUCCCCAGCCGGUCGGGGAGGCACCCUGAUAUUCAACCGGAAGAAACUACCAUGCUCCUCGAGCAAGAGGACUGGAAUCUUCGCUGCCACUCGAUGGAGGAGGGGGUACGCGGGCUUCAAAUGGAGGUGCAUCAUUUAGGAUAUCUGAUGUGUCGCCGCCACCUGGAGUCGCCUCGCCAUCGUGGUUGUUACCAUUGUCUAACAAGAUUCCCCACUGCUUGACCAGGCAAGAGGACUGCGGAAUCGUCGUUGCCGCUCGAUGGAGGAGGGGGUGCGCGGGUUUCAAAUGGAGGUGCAGCAUUUAGGGUCUCUGAUGUGUCGCCUCCACCUGGAGUUGUCUCGCCAUGGUGAUUGUUACCAUUGCCUAACAAGGUUGGUGAUUGAUGCUACUGGUAUUUAACUUGAGGGAUGCAUAAUUCAGGAUGGAUUUCUGGUUUGGGUGAUCUUCUUAUGGCCAUCGGUACAUCUGCAGAUUCCGCUAUGACACCGCUGGGCAGCACGAUGACGGAGGCCUGAAGUGUAUGACCAGCAACAGCAUCCAUGGGCAGCAUCUGCUGGCACAAUGAAGAAAGUAGGCAAUGUUUUAUUGUAGCUUGGUUAGUUCGUUAUAGUUGUAACCUAUGGAUUUGGUUUUACCUUUGCAAUCUCUUAUAUUCGCUCUACAGGUAAUUCUGAAUUUGGUUUUAGUUACUUAAGGGGAAAAUGUGCAUUGCCUAUAGAUUGUAUCAAAACAGCAGAAUGUAGCAUAUGUAGAAAAAAGAACGAUUUCUAACCAAGCGAGUUUGUUUAUUUUUUGGGCAUUCAAUUGAUGCAUAGCAUUAGUUGAUGAAAGAUGCAUGCUAUUUUUUAUGUUCAGAAGUAUUUAUUAAGAUGGCCGCCUACCAUUUUUCAUUUACUUCUUCACAUCUUAUAUCCAUUAAGUAGCUAGAUCCAAUUUCUGUUAUGGACAUCUUCUAUGCCAUCCAUGGUUAGUACAGAUUUUGUCAUCCGAUUGUUCUCUUCCUAUAUGUGACAGGUUUAGUACUUGGUUUUCUUUACAGCUGCUUAACAAUGGAUUUCGAUCCUGUGAAUUGAUGUAACAAAUAAAUUUUUCAAUGUCAGCUGCAGCAAGAUAUAGGUGUUGUACCCAACAUUGUUUCUAUAGGUGCGCCCUCUCACAAAGAACUCACAGAAUUGGGCAUUCAUUCCAAUUUUAGCAACCAAUUGCUAUCGUAGAGAUAUAUCCAUCUAUGCAAGGGUCAGAAUGAAUGGUGGAAGCAGGUGUUGUCUGCAUACCAAGAAUUCAAUUUCUACUGAUGACAUUGAGUUUUCUGCUCAUUCGAUUUGUUGUUGGAGUUUCUCAUGGCAAUAUGCCGGAUAGCUGCCUCUGGAAUACAAGUGCAGCCAGUAGUUUGUAUUGGGACCUUUUGAGAUCAUGUGUUCUGUUUGUAUGGAUGCUAUGGAGCUGUUUUAAUUGCAACGCUUCAGUUUUAGCAUAUCAGCUUAUCUUAGCAAGAUGGCAUUAAUUACUGGAUAUGCAAAACCAGGAUUUUAACACAGAAACCCCGGUGCCAAUAAGUAGAUAGAUACAACUGAUUGCAGGAGCUUGAUAUUUCUUAAGUACCAAACUUCAAGUAUCUGCAGAUGACUGUACUGCUUAGGCUACCUACAAGAACUACCGCACUUCAAGAAUAAAUUAGCAGUUGAUAUAUGCCAUGUUCAGUGACCCCUCUUCUGUAAUUUAGUGUCCAUUUCUAUGUUUGUCACAUAACCAGUAUCUAUUGGAGAACUUCUGCUUCUUUUGUUUCAAUAUUAUCUCUUACUUUUCUGCU